rnacentral:rRNA from 1 species
CCUACGGGAGGCAGCAGUGAGGAAUAUUGGUCAAUGGGCGGAAGCCUGAACCAGCCAAGUAGCGUGCGGGAUGAAGGCCCUACGGGUCGUAAACCGCUUUUGCACGGGGAUAACACCCUCCACUUGUGGAGGUCUGCAGGUACCGUGCGAAUAAGGGCCGGCUAAUUCCGUGCCAGCAGCCGCGGUACUACGGGAGGCCCGAGCGUUACCCGGAUUCAUUGGGCUUAAGGGGAGCGGGGGCGGGCGUUCAAGUCAGCUGUAAAAUCGCGCGGCUCAACCGGGCACCGAAGUUGAAACUGGACGCCUUGAGGUCACAACAGGCAGGCGGAAUUCGUGGUGUAGCGGUGAAAUGCAUAGA